rnacentral:lncRNA from 1 species
CAUGUCUCCCUUCAGACAAUUCUGUUAAAUGCGUAUUUAUUUUCAUUUUAUUCUGCAGCAGCAGACAAUAUAAUUAUACGACUGUACAUAACGGAUAUAUCAACACUAAUUGCAUAAGGUUUCGACGUCUGUAUAGCAAGAUUAGACUUUGAUAGACGUUGUUUACACGAUAUGUAUCUAUAUGUCGAAAACAAGCGUGGACGUCUGAGCUGGAUUGGACACAAGAGCUGAUUACGAAAAGAUACGCCAGUCAAGAUUCCGAAUGUUUAUGCCAAGUAUAGAGAAAACCAGUGCAUUUGAUCGUAUAUCAAGGAUUGCUUCCCCUAGGAUUUCCUCUUCAUUUUCUUUUUUUUAAUGUAAUUUAUUAGCAACUUGUGUAUGUAUGCAAUGUGGAUUCCUGCAAUCCCACAUUUUCUGGAGAUAAGAUACGUUCAUCUGACUUAAAAAUUCUUACCAAAUUAAAAUUGACAAAUACUUUAUCAGGUUAAUGUCAACCGGAGAAAUGGCCAGGACAUGCUAUCGUACAACAAGGGCUGCUCUCCCCAGUGUAAUUUAAUAGUAUAUGGACACAUGAAAAUGCAACAUUUUCUUGAGAUAAGCUACAUUUAUUUAACUUAGAAAUCCUGAUCAAAUCAAAAUUGACAAAUAUUUGAUAAUGUUUAUGGAUAUCAGGAUAAAGCUAGGACAUGUGGUCAUAUAUUAAAGAUUAGUUUCCUAAUCUGUAAUAUCCAAUAAUGAAUCCUACUGUACCACAUUUUCUUGAGAUAAACUACGUUUAUGUAUUACUUUAAGAAUUCUUUUGAAAUCAAACUUGACAAAUAUUUGAUCAAAUGCUUCACUUGGCAUGUUUUACAGUCGAUAUGAGAGAAAAUUUCAUUUGUAAGCAUUUUGUAGUAUUCUCUAUAAACAUUUAUAAUCAUCUGCUUAUAAUUGUCUGGUAACACGUGUCAGCUGCGCGCUACAUGUAAAUUGACACUACCGAAUG